CGCCUCUAGCUAUUAAUAUUAGAGGUCCAUUCUGCCCUAUGCCCUACGGGGUAAAUGGCCGCGGUAGCCUGACCGUGCUAAGGUAGCAUAAUCAUUUGCCGUUUAAUUGAUGGCUGGAAUGAAUGAAUAUACGAGAGCUCAACUGUCUCAUUUUUACAAAUAUAAAUUGACCCUCAAGUGAAGAGACUUGAAUUCUUAAAAAAGACGAAAAGACCCUAUAGAGCUUUACCUGAAAUCUAUAUCAUAUAUAAUAAAGGUUUAGUUGGGGCAACUAGAGAGCACCUAAAACCUCUCUUCAAAUUUUCUAAUAACGAUCCGUUUUUACGAUAAGUAGAAAAAGCUACCUUAGGGAUAACAGGCUAAUCCUCUUUAAGAGACCAUAUUGACAAGAGGGGUUGGCACCUCGAUGUUGGCUCAAGGUUACAGUUUGAUGCAGCAGUCAAACAAAGUAGGUUUGUUCACCCUUUAAAUCCUU
rnacentral:rRNA from 1 species